GUCACGGCUGUAGAUCUCACCCUGACGCGAGAAUUGGCAAGUCCUGGCCUGGCUUACCUGGUACCCUGUGGUCCGGUAGACUGAAUAAUGGCCCGCCAAGAUGUCCACGUCCUAACCUUCAGAACCUGUAUGUUAUCUUACGUGACAAGAGGGACUUUGCAGAUUUGAUUCGGUUAAGGAGCCGGAGAUUGAAAGAUUGUCCUGGAUUAUUCGGGUGGAUGGACCCUGUGUAAUUAUGAUGAUAAGAAGGAGGCAGGAGUGUCAGUGUGAGAUGUGAUGACCAGAGCAGAGGUGAGAAAGAGAGAAGAAAAAAGAUUUGAAGAUGGAGGAAGGAACGAAGAUCCAAGGUAUAAAGGUAACCUCUAGAAGCUGGAAAGGAAGGAAAUAGAUUUUCCCAUAGAGCCUCCAAAGGAAUGCAACUGCACCAGCACCUUGAGUUCAUCUAACCUCCAAAACGCAUGCAUUCCGAUAUUUUCCUGGCCCAUCACAAUAGUAACUGGGAGAGAGUCCGCAUCCUGAAGGAGCUCAGAGGACACGAAAGCAGAAGCCUGAGAAGCAAGAGCCUACACAGAAGAAAGGAAGAUCUGAGAAACAUUUGAAAUUAAAAUAGUGUCCUUCAAUCAACUAUGAGUGAGGCCGUACCAAUUCUAUUGACCAUGAAUAUGUGAAGAUCAAUUUGACAAAGCCAUUGACAAAUGUGCAGAAGUGAAGGCUUAUAGCAGAAAGCACAGUGGAGUUAUUCAUCACCAUCACCAUGGGGACCAAAAUAUUGGGGUUCUGUUUUACCUUGCUGAUUCAUUGCUGUGGAUUCUUUUAUAUUUUUAUUUUUCCCAAUAAAUCUUUUAUUUUUCUAAUUUUAUUUUAUUCUUUAUAGUUUGUUAGUUAUCUCUCUUUUUGGCUUGUUGCCCCCACCCUUUUUUUUUUUCUUUUUUCUGCUGUGGUUCUAUUUUACCUUAUUGCAGUUGUUUCAAUUAUAGUUUUAUUUUUCCUAAUAUAUUUUUUAUCUUUCUGAUUUUAUUUUGUUUUUUACUCUUUGGUAUUAUACUACUCUUUUUUCUGUCUUUCUUCCUUUUUUUACCACUCCACGAAGCUUGCGGGAUCUUGGUUCCCAGGCUGGAGGUCAGGCCCGAGUUCCUAUGGUGGGAGCUCCGAGUCCAAACUGCUGGACUAACAGAGAACCUCAGACCUCAGGGAAUAUCAGUCGGAGUGAGGCCUCCCAGAGGUCCUCAUCUCAGCACCAAGACCCAGCUCUAUCUAACUGCCUGAAAACUCCAGUGCUGGACAUCUCAAGCCAAACAACCAGUAAGACAGGAAUAGAGCACCACCCAUC
rnacentral:lncRNA from 1 species